ACACGCAUGACACACUGCAUAUCAAUAAGCGGAGGAAAAGAAACUAACAAGGAUUCCCCUAGUAACGGCGAGUGAAGCGGGAAGAGCUCAAAUUUGAAAUCUUAAAGGGUUUCCCUUUACGAAUUGUAGUUUAAUAGAAGUGUUUUCUGUUAGUAGAGUGGCAAAAGUUCUUUGGAAUAGGACAUCAUAGAGGGUGAGAAUCCCGUAUUUGGUCAUUCUUUCUAGCUUUGUGAUACACUUUCAACGAGUCGGAUUGUUUGGGAAUGCAGUCCAAAAUGGGUGGUAAAUUUCAUCUAAAGCUAAAUAUUGGCGAGAGACCGAUAGCGAACAAGUACCGUGAGGGAAAGAUGAAAGGAACUUUGAAAAGAGAGUUAAACAGUACGUGAAAUUGUCAAAAGGGAAGCGUUUGACACCAGUGUUGUUUAGUUGAAAAUCAAUUAAAUAUUUUUCGAUUCUAAGUAGUAUUGACCUUAUCAGCUUGCUGCUUUUUCCUCGGAAAUUAUUUAAUGCACUUUUCAGUUAACAAGUCAACAUCAAUUUCUUUUGUUGUAAAAAGGUAAGAGGAAGGUGGCUUGCGCUUCGGCUCAAGUGUUUAUAGCCUUUUACCCCUGCAAUCGGAGAGAUUGAGGUCUGCAGCGUAGAUCCUUCGGGGUUAGAUACAUUUGUGCUAAGCUAUAGCCUUGUAUAGACAACUUGUUGACUAUGCUCAGUCAUGUAGCUUACUCGCUUAUGCUAUUUUACCUACGCUUAGGAUGUUGACGCAUGAGAUAUACGC
rnacentral:rRNA from 1 species